CCUUGGUUUUAAAGGAACGGGAAGAAAUAUUUUCCUUAAAAUGUCUGCAAAUCGUAUAUUUUGUUUUCUGAUUUUCGCUCUUUUUCUUUUUACGAUAUGUUAUUCAUUUAAUAAAGAUCUUGUAAGGUGUGGAGACUGUAAAAAUGAGAAUAAGGAAUUUUGCAUAAUUAAAGGUGAUUCAGACCAUGUUGCGCACGAAAAAUCUGUAAGAUCGGGUUUUAAAUCUCACUUUGAAAACACCCCGUGGACCGCGGACUUGGACGUGUGCAUUCCUAAAAAUAUGACAAUUGAUGCAAAAGAUGGAGAAUUCUUAUAUUUAUGUGUUUGGUCACCCGAAAUUGGUUGUCAAAUUUUAUUACCUAAGGACAAUAAGGACACAUUUUUGGGCUGUGAGGCCCAGGCUGUCCGUAACUUGUAAAGUGCGGAAACUGUACUGAGGACAAUAAAGGCAUAUGCAUAAUUAAAAGUGAUUCGGACCAUGUUGUAAUUCGAAAAGCUCUUAGAUCGAAUUUAAUAUUUGAAUUUGAAGAAACCCCGUGGACCGCGGACUUGGACGUGUGCAUUCCUAGCAACAUGACAAUUGAUGCAAAACAAGAUCUAAACCAUCAAGGUAACAGCUAAAUACAACGUGUAUUAACUGUACCAAGGCCAAACAGCUCAACUAUUAAAUAUAACCAUAUUUUAAUCAUAA